rnacentral:rRNA from 1 species
UACGAAGGGGGCUAGCGUUGUUCGGAAUCACUGGGCGUAAAGCGCACGCAGGCGGAUUGAUAAGUCGGGGGUGAAAUCCCGGGGCUCAACCUCGGAACUGCCUUCGAUACUGUCUAUCUUGAGUCCGGGAGAGGUGAGUGGAAGUCCUAGUGUAGAGGUGAAAUUCGUAGAUAUUAGGAAGAACACCAGUGGCGAAGGCGGCUCACUGGACCGGUACUGACGCUCAGGUGCGAAAGCGUGGGGAGCAAACAGG